AACUGGGGCUAAACUGUGUUCUUCAGAUCCUUCAGUAUGACAUGUGGAACGUCACCCCCUCUGACCUCUGGGACUGGAAGGCUUUGAAGGAGAAGAUUGCCAAGUACGGUGUCAGGAACAGCCUCCUCCUUUCCCCCAUGCCAACUGCCUCCACUGCCCAGAUCCUGGGCAACAACGAGUCCAUCGAGCCCUACACCAGCAACAUCUACACACGCAGGGUCCUCUCGGGGGAGUUCCAGGU